GACAGAGGUGCCAAGCGUUAGGCGGAAUCACUGGGCUUAAAGCGUGUGUAGGCGGAUCGUUAAGUACCUUGUGAAAUCCCCGGGCUCAACCCGGGAACUGCGUCCGAUACUGGUUGGCUUGAAUCCGGGAGAGGGAUGCGGAAUUCCAGGUGUAGCGGUGAAAUGCGUAGAUAUCUGGAGGAACACCGGUGGCGAAGGCGGCAUCCUGGACCGGCAUUGACGCUGAGGCGCGAAAGCCAGGGGAGCAAACGGG
rnacentral:rRNA from 1 species